CUGUCAGGGGUUCAGGGACAGAGGCACAGGGUAGGCAGGAGAUGGAGAGCGAUGGGGAUGAAUCCCAAGACAGCGAGGAAGAGGAUGACAAUGACUCAAGAGAUUCCAUGAGUCUUUCCAGCGAAUCAGAGGAUUCCCAGAAGGGGGCGCCGGUGGUCAAGGCCAGGGGAGCCCCAGGGGGAACGUGUCAGGAGCAGGGGGCCAGCGGGGGAUCCCAAAGUGGCAGCUGGGCGUCAGGACCAGCCUCCCCGCCAGAGUGCAGCGAAGGGGGUGGAGGUUCCAGUGUAUCAGGGGAAGCAGCUCCGGCAGCAGAGAAGGGAGGGAGGUCGGAGCAAGCCACCCUCCCGGAAGGGGAGGGGAGUAGUGAAGGGAGUAGUGUAGCUGUCAAAAGGAAGGUUAGAGGUUGGGCGCGCGCGCCAAGUUCAAAUGUAGAGGCGCGCGGAAGUACAGGGAGCCCGGAGGAGGGGCCAGGUCCCAAAGCCCGCAGGAGGGGGCAAGAGCAAUCUGGGGAUUCCGCGUCAGGGGAAUCCAGGAGGGGCGAAACCCCAGCGGGCAGGAAGACCCUGAGGAAAAGGAAAGAGAGAAAGAGGUGGAGCAGAGCAAGCCUCUUAAACUGGUGCAGGGAGGGACUGACUCAGAGGGGACUUCAACGGUCUAAGCGUAACAGACGUGGGGCUGCGCGCCUCGGAUGUGAAGCAAACAAUGAACUGCAAUAAACACUUUUGUAUAUAAGAAGAACUUGGCGUUGGUCUUUUGUGAGCUGAGACCUGAGGCAGCCUUGACACUAGCCCUAACCUCAACCUCAAACCUGACCCUAACCCAAUCCCAAACCCUAACCCUAAGAUAUAAGGACUUACUGGAAAGCAAAACCCCAAGGUGGCUGUCACCGAUGGAAGUGAAAGCUCAGAAAAAGCUCAGUAUGGAGGUCAGAUGGCCGAAAUAUUGGGAAAUUUUGGAACAAGAGGGAGAUAGACUGAAAUCGCAGAGUUUUGAGAAAUUAAAAAACAAAGUGCGAGACUGGCUUCAUUUUUAUCAGAUAAUGGAGGCAUAUAAUUUGGACAAGAAAAUUGGCUUCCAGGUGGAAAAAUCAAAAUUUGAAACAGAACUGCUAGAACCCAAAACUAAGAUUUUGUCAAAGAUGUAUAACUUGCUGUUGAAAUGGAAUACACAGGAUGAAACGGUGAAAUCUGCUAUGAUUAAAUGGGCACAAGAUGUUGGACAUAACAUAAUGAUGGCUGACUGGGAACAGUUAUGGACCACAGGUAUGAAGUUUACGGCAUGCAAUGCCUUAAGAGAGAAUAUUAUGAAAAUGAUAUACAGGUGGUACAUGACACCAGUCAAGCUUGCAAAAAUCUAUCAUUUGCCCAAUAAUAAGUGUUGGAAAUGUAAGGAAACUGAAGGUACAUUCUUUCACCUUUGGUGGACGUGCCAAAGGAUUAAGGCUUUCUGGGAGAUGAUUUAUAAUGAAAUGAAAAGGGUAUUUAAAUAUACCUUCUUGAAGAAACCAGAGGCCUUUCUCCUGGGCAUGGUCGGCCAAAUGGUGCUAAAGAAGGACAGAACUUUCUUUAUGUAUGCCACAACAGCAGCAAGAAUACUUAUUGCAAAGUAUUGGAAGACGCAAGAUCUACCCACCCUGGAAGAAUGGCAGAUGAAGGUGAUGGACUACAUGGAAUUGGCGGAAAUGACUGGCAGAAUCCGAGACCAGGGAGAAGAGUCGGUGGAAGAAGAUUGGAAGAAAUUUAGAGACUAUUUACAGAAAUAUUGCAUAAUUAAUGAAUGUUAGAAUGAUGUCAGAAUGAAGUUAAGUGUUUUAAGCAGCAAUGUUAUAAAGGUGUAUGAAAAAUGGAUUAUUAACAGGUGAGAACUCAAAGUGAUAAUAUAUUAAGUUAAAGGACUAAGAUAAAAACAAAGAGGGAAAGAAAUUGCUGAAUUAACUAACUGAAUUGGAAUACAAAAAAGGGAGGUGUGAGGAGGUCAGGGAAGCAAGGAUAUGAAUAUAUGACAUAGAAAGAUUGAUGUGUUUUCUUUUUAAAUGUUUUUUAUCUUUUUUCUGUAUUUUGUAUUUUUUUGUCUUUUCUUUUUAAUUAUGUAAUUCUUUUCCUUUGAAUCCUUAAUAAAUAUCAUUUAAAAAAAAACAUCUUUAAGUAACCCCCCCCCAAAAACCAACCUGACCCUAACCCUAACCCUUACCCGCUCAACCCUAACCCUAACACUAAUCCUAAUCCUAACACUAGCCUCAACGCUAACCCUUACUCUACUCCUACACCUACCCCUACCCCUAAUGCUAACCAAAACCCGAUCCCAAACCCUAACCUCAAUCCUAACCCUAAACCUAGCCCUAACCUCAACCUCAAACCUGACCCUAACCCUAACCCUAACCCUAGCCCUAACCUCAACCUCAAACCUGACCCUAACCCUAACCCGAAGCUCAACCCUAACCCUAACCCUAACCCUACCCCUACCCCUAAUGCUAACCAAAACCCAAUCCCAAACCAAAAUCGAACUCUAACUCUAACCCCAACCCUAAACCUUAACCCUAACCUCAUCCUGAACACUUACCCUAAUCCUAAACGUAACCCUAACCAUAACCAUAGCCCUAACCGUAACCCUAACCCUAAUGUAACCCUAACCCUAACCCUAACCCUAACCUUAACCUUAACCUUAACCCUACCCCUACCCCUACCCCUACCCCUACCCAUACCCCUAACCCUAACCCUAACCCUAACCCUAGCCUCAUCCCGAACACUUACCCUAAUUGUCAGGGGUUCAGGGACAGAGGCACAGGGUAGGCAGGAGAUGGAGAGCGAUGGGGAUGAAUCCCAGGACAGCGAGGAAGAGGAUGACAAUGACUCAAGAGAUUCCAUGAGUCUUUCCAGCGAAUCAGAGGAUUCCCAGAAGGGGGCGCCGGUGGUCAAGCCCAGGGGAGCCCCAGGGGGGACGUGUCAGGAGCAGGGGGCCAGCUGGGCAUCCCAAAGUGGCAGCUGGGUGUCAGGACCAGCCUCCCCGCCAGAGUGCAGCGAAGGGGGUGGAGGUUUCAGUGUGUCAGUGGAAGCGGCUCCGGCAGCAGAGAAAGGAGGGAGGUCGGAGCAAGCCAUCCUCCCGGAAGGGGAGGGGAGCAGUGAAGGGAGUAGUGUAGCUGUUGAAAGGAAGGUUAGAGGCUGGGCGCGCGCGCCAAGUUCAAAUGUAGAGGCGCGCGGAAGUACAGGGAGCCCGGAGGAGGGGCCAGGUCCCAAAGCCCGCAGGAGGGGGCAAGAGCAGUCUGAUUCCGCGUCAGAGGAAUCCAGGAGGGGCGAAACCCCAGCGGGCAGAAGGACCCUGCGGAAAAGGAAAGAGAGAAAGAGGUGGAGCAGCGCAAGCCUCUUAAAUUGGUGCAGG